rnacentral:rRNA from 1 species
UACGGGGGGGGCAAGCGUUGUUCGGAAUUACUGGGCGUAAAGGGCGCGUAGGCGGCCUUCUAAGUCAGACGUGAAAUCCCUCGGCUCAACCGAGGAACUGCGUCUGAUACUGGAAGGCUUGAAUCCGGGAGAGGGAUGUGGAAUUCCAGGUGUAGCGGUGAAAUGCGUAGAUAUCUGGAGGAACACCCGUGGCGAAGGCGGCUCUCUGGGACGGUACUGACGCUGAGACGCGAAAGCGUGGGGAGCGAACAGG